UACGUAGGGGGCGAGCGUUGUCCGGAUUCAUUGGGCGUAAAGAGCUCGUAGGCGGCUUGGCAAGUCGGGUGUGAAAACUCCAGGCUCAACCUGGAGACGCCACCCGAUACUGCCAUGGCUUGAGUCCGGUAGGGGACCACGGAAUUCCUGGUGUAGCGGUGAAAUGCGCAGAUAUCAGGAGGAACACCGGUGGCGAAGGCGGUGGUCUGGGCCGGUACUGACGCUGAGGCGCGAAAGCCAGGGGAGCGAACAGG
rnacentral:rRNA from 1 species